AUCCAGCUGACGAGUCCCGAACGGGACGAAACGCGUGUCAUGGAU
rnacentral:hammerhead_ribozyme from 1 species